GAGGACAACCAGUAGCCUGUUCUGCUCUUAUCUACUAUGGUGUUCACCUAAUGCCACUGUGGCUUCCCUUUUUUUUGACUCAUACAGGGCCAGGACACACAGAAUAUAUAUAAGUAUACCCGUUAUGUCGGGUCCCACUGCUGACCCUUUCCCACUGUGGGAGGUCAGGACCGUGUUAUCGCUAAGGUACCGCUGGGUUUAUUGAACUGCAAGUUGAAGAAGCUUCUGUGGCAGCAGCUGGAUUUGCACCCGUCACUCAGGAGGAGGUCUUGGCUGUACAGUUGAACUAAAGAAUUUUUCUGCCUGAAGCCAAAACAAACAGAAAAUAACUAACAGUAAUAGGGUGGGAGCCUUCAAACACGAGAUGUGUUCAUUACUGGUUUCAGAGGUGAAGAAAAUACAUUUAAAGAGCACAGGCUCCUGGAUUUGUAGAAGACAGACAUCCAGGGCACUUCUUGGCAUCCACAGGAAAAUCAUAUGGGAUUAAAAACCCACAGCAGAAUUGCUGAAAGCUGCCGCUUGAGGAUUACAACUUCACCUUUUGCUUUUAUGGAUGCUUGUUUACUAUCCAUGUGGUAUCCUCUGGACAGCAAAUAAUCCAUUCAUUAUCCACACUGAUUGAGUGCAGGAGUAGUGCAGUGGGAACUACUUCACUCAGCUGACGG
rnacentral:lncRNA from 1 species